rnacentral:rRNA from 1 species
AACGAACGCUGGCGGCAUGCCUAACACAUGCAAGUCGAACGAGACCUUCGGGUCUAGUGGCGCACGGGUGCGUAACGCGUGGGAAUCUGCCCUUUGCUUCGGAAUAACAGUUAGAAAUGACUGCUAAUACCGGAUGAUGUCGAAAGACCAAAGAUUUAUCGGCAAAGGAUGAGCCCGCGUAGGAUUAGGUAGUUGGUGGGGUAAAGGCCUACCAAGCCGACGAUCCUUAGCUGGUCUGAGAGGAUGAUCA